rnacentral:rRNA from 1 species
AUUGAACGCUGGCGGCGUGCUUAACACAUGCAAGUCGAUCGGUAACAGGUGUAGCAAUACAUGCUGACGAGAGGCGGACGGGUGAGUAAUGCUUGGGAAUCUGCCUAUUAGUGGGGGACAACCCGGGGAAACUCGGGCUAAUACCGCAUACGCUCUACGGAGGAAAGCCGGGACCGCAAGGCCUGGCGCUAAUAGAUGAGCCCAAGUCGGAUUAGCUAGUUGGUAGGGUAACGGCCUACCAAGGCGACAAUCCGUAGCUGGUCCGAGAGGACGACCAGCCACACCGGAACUGAGACACGGUCCGGACUCCUACGGGAGGCAGCAGUGGGGAAUAUUGGACAAUGGGGGCGAACCCUGAUCCAGCGACGCCGCGUGGGUGAAGAAGGCCUGCGGGUUGUAAAGCCCUUUCGGUGGGGAAGAAAAGUCUCGACCUAAUACGUCGGGACCUUGACGUAACCACUAAAGAAGCACCGGCUAACUCUGUGCCAGCAGCCGCCGUAAG